AUUUGACAUUCAGACCAUCUGGUAAAUGCUAUCUGUUGGCGUAAACAACUGGCUUUCUACAGUAGAAGUUAAUUUCUCACUCACCGGAAGUCCAAUGAUGGUGUUUCUGAUGUGGAUAGCAUUCAUCAUGGUCUUUCAGGGACACACAUCUUGGGAGCCCUGAAUUGACAUGUGAGAAGUCAAAGCUUCAUGCAGGAGAGACCACGUAUAGAGGCCACACUGAGGGGGAGACAUCCAAGGAACUCCAGCUGUCACAGCCCCCAAAGCAGGAAGAUGAGUUUACUACCAGUGACUCCAUUAUGACCAGAAGUGGAGCAUUUAUUAAGGAGUAAGGUGAAUUCUGAAGUCCUUUCUGCUACAAAUCAAAGAGGAAUUGAAACCAAUUCUCUACAAACUGUUCCAAAAGAUU